UGGCAAACUCCAUUCGUAGAGAAGUGGAGAAGCACCAAACGUCCAAACCAGACCUCAAAAAAUCAAAACAAAAUCUUGGUUUGUUUCUGGCGUGGAACAGAUCUACUGAUACAGUGCAACAUCAUCUUCUUGCUUACAUUUUUCAAUUCACUGACAUUAAUAUCAUCAUUGUUUGGAUCUAUUUAGAUAUAUAGACACAAAAAGAUGAACAUAUUCAGAUUAGCAGGGGACAUGACCCAUCUGGCCAGUGUUCUUGUUUUGCUUCUCAAGAUUCACACUAUCAAAUCUUGUGCUGGCACUUUUUGCAACAACCCAUUUGCUUUUUACUUGUUCUUGUAGUUUUCUCAUUUGUGAAGUUGUUAUCUUUUUGUUAAUUGGUGUUUAAAGUUAUAAUCUUUUUGUUAAUUGGUGUUUAAAGUUGGAAGCUUUUUGUAUUUUGGUGUGUUAUUUGUCAUUUUCUUGGCAAUUGGAGCUUACCCUUUUGGUUUCUUGAAGUCUCUUGGUGAAAAUGUGAAUGGGGUUUUAAUUUAGGUUUUGGGUUUGUUGAAUUAAAGUUGAUUAUUGAGUAUGUACAUGUGUUGCCUGAGUUUUUUCUCUGGGUUUUAAGGGAUUGUAUUGCGAAUGUAUUUGGGAUUUGAUUUCUAGAUUCUGAGGUUAGUUUUAAGUGAGUUAUUUGGGGAGUUGGGGAUAGACUAAUAUGAUUAAUUUAGUGGCUAUUUCAAUCCAACACUGUAUGUUAUGUUAUGUUUCUUUUGGCAAUCAUAUAGUGGUAUUUUGUAACACCUUGAGAUUUUGAAAGAGUAGGGUCUAGGAUGGCCAACAAAUUACACAAGUUUAACCCGUGUUUAGCGGUUGUUUCUUUAAAGGCACCGCUGUUUCUUGAUAAGUAUAAACCAGAAAGUGAGUAGCCUUAUGUGUAAUAAUGGAGUCUGAAGAGUGGAUAGUACUUCACUGGUUUAAUACUCACUUGAGGGAACAAUGGCGGGGGUUCUGCAUCAGGUAAUGAGAUGACUGUUCAUCAGCUUAUAUGGUUUUAUCACUGGUAUGAAUGAUAUAAUUUAUACAUAGGAUUAAGUGGUGUUUAUGACAAGCAUUUAUGAUAUAAUAAUUGAAAAUAAGAAAUGUUGCAAUAAGAAAAUCUAGGGAGCAGAUAUUAUAAAUGUCUUUUAAAAAGUUGAGAAGUUUGAGAGCGAGAGUGAUGUGGUUAUCUGAAACUUUAAAGAUUCAUUUUAACGAAAUAACAAGUAAUAGUAUUAUGCACAUUAUGUUUAAGUUGCCAAUACUCUGCAUGUUACUGCCUUGUGUAGACCUUUAAUUACUGGUCUCUUGACUUGCAUUCAGGUGUUUCACUAAAGACUCAAGAGCUCUAUGCUCUUGCAUGUCUUCGCUACUCGCUACCUGGAUAUUUUUGUUGGAAUUAUAUUCUAAUAAUCUAAACUUAGAAUAAAUAAAUUAGUAUAAUCACUAAUUGUUUUAUUAGUAGAGUUUAGUUUCAGGUGGACACUAGUUAGUUGCUAUCACUUUGUUGGGUAGCCUUUAUAUAUUAUGUGAUGUAUCUCUUUUAAUAUAUCAGGAGAAAUACAAUGUAGUCUUUGGAGUUCAUUUGCUCUUGUACAUAUAUAUUCAUCUUGUUUAAUUUGAAGUCAUCAGUUUUAUAGUUUAAUUUCAACAAUUUUUACCGAUUUUGUCUCGCUAUACAAUACUGUGAUGAAGCUAAUCUUCUUGGGGAGCUUUUUCUCAAUUGUUUGGUACAUAAGGCACCAUAAAAUUGUCCGCAGAUCCUAUGAUAAAGACCAGGACACCUUUCGCCACUAUUUUCUUCUGCUGCCUUGUUUCCUUUUGGCCCUAUUUAUACAUGAAAGGUUCACUUUCAAAGAGGUAAUGUGGACUUUUUCUUUAUAUUUGGAGGCUAUUGCCAUACUUCCUCAGCUGGUGUUGCUACAAAGGACAAGAAAUAUUGACAAUUUGACAGGGCAAUAUGUGUUCCUCCUUGGGUGUCUAUUAUAACUGGCAUAUUCAUACUCCAAAAUAAGGCUGUGGACCAACCCCAAAGGGGUGCUGCUAACGACAUUGCCAUGACUGCAGUGCAAUGUCACUUCUCAAAGCGAUCCAGCAGGUGGAGGGGCACUGUACUCAGAUAGUUUUCUUCUUCUUGAAUGUAGUCGAAGCAAUCGGAAUUGCAUUGACGUUCGAACCAUUUCUUGUUUUACGGCAACCUUGAAAAUCAGUUUUGUAGGGAAUGUAACAUUAUAGUUUGGAUCAAUUUUAGCAGGACUAGCAGUUGCAAAUCAAUAUAUGAUCAGAUUUUACUUAUA